rnacentral:snRNA from 1 species
GUGCUCGCUUCAGCAGCAUAUAUACUAAAAUAGGAAUGAUACAGAGAAGAUUAGCAUGGUCCCUGCACAAGGAUGACACACAAAUUCAUGAAGCAUUUCAUAUUUUU